UACGUAGGGAGCAAGCGUUGUCCGGAAUCAUUGGGCGUAAAGCGCGCGUAGGCGGCCCCGUAAGUCCGCUGUGAAAGUCAAAGGCUCAACCUUUGAAAGCCGGUGGAUACUGUGGGGCUAGAGUACGGAAGAGGCGAGUGGAAUUCCUGGUGUAGCGGUGGAAUGCGCAGAUAUCAGGAGGAACACCGGUGGCGAAGGCGGCACUCUGGGACGGUACUGACGCUGAGACGCGAAAGCGUGGGGAGCGAACAGGG
rnacentral:rRNA from 1 species